CAAAGGUGAGCCAGUACAGGAUGGACCCGCGUCUGAUUAGCUAGUUGGUAAGGUAACGGCUUACCAAGGCGACGAUCAGUAGCCGACCUGAGAGGGUGAUCGGCCACAUUGGAACUGAGACACGGUCCAAACUCCUACGGGAGGCAGCAGUGGGGAAUAUUGCACAAUGGGCGAAAGCCUGAUGCAGCAACGCCGCGUGAGUGAUGAAGGCCUUCGGGUCGUAAAACUCUGUCCUCAAGGAAGAUAAUGACGGUACUUGAGGAGGAAGCCCCGGCUAACUACGUGCCAGCAGCCGCGGUAAUACGUAGGGGGCUAGCGUUAUCCGGAUUUACUGGGCGUAAAGGGUGCGUAGGCGGUCUUUCAAGUCAGGAGUGAAAGGCUACGGCUCAACCGUAGUAAGCUCUUGAAACUGGGAGACUUGAGUGCAGGAGAGGAGAGUGGAAUUCCUAGUGUAGCGGUGAAAUGCGUAGAUAUUAGGAGGAACACCAGUUGCGAAGGCGGCUCUCUGGACUGUAACUGACGCUGAGGCACGAAAGCGUGGGGAGCAAACAGGAUUAGAUACCCUGGUAGUCCACGCUGUAAACGA
rnacentral:rRNA from 1 species